GACGAACGCUGGCGGCGUGCCUAAUACAUGCAAGUCGAGCGCAGGGAACUGACGGAACUCUUCGGAGGGAAGGCAGUGGAAUGAGCGGCGGACGGGUGAGUAACACGUAAGGAACCUGCCUCAAGGAUUGGGAUAACUCCGAGAAAUCGGAGCUAAUGCCGGAUAGUUCAUCGGACCGCAUGGUCCGUUGAGGAAAGGCGCUCCGGCGUCACCUUGAGAUGGCCUUGCGGUGCAUUAGCUAGUUGGUGGGGUAACGGCCCACCAAGGCGCCGAUGCAUAGCCGGCCUGAGAGGGUGAUCGGCCACACUGGGACUGAGACACGGCCCAGACUCCUACGGGAGGCAGCAGCAGGGAAUCUUCCACAAUGGACGAAAGUCUGAUGGAGCAACGCCGCGUGAGUGAUGAAGGUUUUCGGAUCGUAAAACUCUGUUGUAAGGGAAGAACACGUACGAGAGGGAAUGCUCGUACCUUGACGGUACCUUACGAGAAAGCCACGGCUAACUACGUGCCAGCCGCCGCCGUAACAC
rnacentral:rRNA from 1 species